rnacentral:rRNA from 1 species
GACGAACGCUGGCGGCGUGCCUAAUACAUGCAAGUCGAACGAAAACGCCCGGUGCUUGCUCUGUCCACUCUAGUGGCGGACGGGUGAGUAACACGUAGGUAACCUGCCUAUCAGAGUGGGAUAACAUUCGGAAACGGAUGCUAAAACCGCAUAGUUCUUCGAACCGCAUGGUUUGAUGAGGAAAGGAGGCGCAAGCUUCUGCUGAUGAUUGACCCCGCGCCGCAUUAGCUAGUUGGUAAGGUAACGGCUCACCAAGGCAGUGAUGCAUAGCCGACCUGAGAGGGUGAUCGGCCACACUGGAACUGAGACACGGCCCAGACUCCUACGGGAGGCAGCAGUAGGGAAUCUUCCGCAAUGGGCGAAAGCCUGACGGAGCAACGCCGCGUGAGUGAAGAAGGUCUUCGGAUCGUAAAACUCUGUUGUUAGAGAAGAACAAGCGCUAAAGUAACUGUGAGCGCCUUGACGGUACCUAAUCAGAAAGCCACGGCUAACUACGUG